UACAGAGGGUGCAAGCGUUGUUCGGAAUCAUUGGGCGUAAAGAGCGCGUAGGCGGCCCGAUAAGUCCGCUGUGAAAGUCGGGGGCUCAACCCUCGAAUGCCGGUGGAUACAGCACGUCUCGAGUCCGGAAGAGGUGGGUGGAAUUCCUAGUGUAGAGGUGAAAUUCGUAGAUAUUAGGAAGAACACCGGUGGCGAAGGCGGCCCACUGGUCCGGUACUGACGCUGAGGUGCGAAAGCGUGGGGAGCAAACAGG
rnacentral:rRNA from 1 species